AUAUUUAGGACGAAUUAAGGUCAACCAGAUACAUUUUUCUAAAGCCGAGGGCUUAGUAUGCAAAGUGUGAUAACCAUAGGGUAAUUUACUGGAAAAAAAAGACAGUAAGUGUGAGUACAAAACUGCAAAGUCCUAGUAAGCCAAAGGGCUAACCCUAGAGAUGUGUGAAACUGUGGUUGAAACAGUUAUUUUAGGGACUCGUACUAAGAUUAGACUCGAAUAUGAGGGUCAAAUGGAAAAUAUGCAAAGAGAUAUCCUUAUCUCGUGUGUGUGGACAUGGAGAACCACAGCCACCGUUUGCAUACGAAGAUGCCUUUGCUGUGCUCGUGAGUGUCGCCUGUGGGCCGUUUGUUUUGCUCCGCCGGAGGGUGGAGUGAUGCCUCGCUGCUGCUGCCGGUAUACAGCGCGCCAUGCGAAGAUUCGUCGGGAAUCGCCGUUGCAACGCACAGCGACCCGCUCCCUCCCUUUCUCCUCAAACGGCGGCGCGGCACGCCCUUCGGUGGUCUUUCCGGGACGCGCCACCGAGCCAAGCGAUUGGCCACCGCCGUAGUCAGCCGUGCCGAGGGAGGCCCGGCGCUUCCGCCGCACCUAGGCGGCACGCCGCUGCGAGGAGCCAUUCCGGGAGGAGCAGCGCCCGCCUUUGCUCCCGUGGGGGCUAGGCCGAUGGCCGAGCGCGGGGCGCAAGGCGUGCCGGGAGGAGCGGCCGCGCCUCGUGCUCGUCGUUCCGGCGCCGGAGGGCAAAGCCGAGGACCUUGGCUCGGCCAUUGGACGCCGAUGAGACGCCUCGCUGAUGGAAGCAGGCGAGGCCGCUUGUUCGUUGAGCGCUCCGUUGGGAUGGGUUGCCGUCUCCGAUGGGCAACGAUGAAAACAAGCACUCCAAUGAUUCAGCAUGUCUAUGAGGAGAUCGGCCAUGCUCCAAGCCGAGGGCCGCUCUGGGAUGCAGGGCGCCUGGAACCUCGUUGGGAAUAAUAGUCGUUGCUGCGCCUCCACGAACGGUGGGGAAACUGACUACUAUCCGUCGUCGUUUCCGAUUCUUUCGCCUGGUCGCUCAGGAAAGAGCGUGCUGAUGACGUGUUAAGAAUAAACGAGAGAGGGAAAGCGAAUGAUUGGAAUGAACAGUAAUCUCUCGUUGAUGAAAACUGAGAUAUUUAUACCCAGUA